AUACGUAGGGUGGCGAGACGUUAAUUACGGAAGUUAACUGGGCGGUAAAGACGUGCGCAGGCGGCUUUGUCAAGACAGAUGUGAAAUACCCCGGGCCGUCAACCUGGGAACGUAGCAUUUGUUGACUGCAAGGCUAGAGUACGGCAGAGGGGGAGUGAAUUCCGCGUGUAGCAGUGAAAUGCGUAGAUAUGCGGAGGAACACCAAUGGCGAAGGCAAUCCCCUGGGCCUGUACUGACGCUCAUGCACGAAAGC
rnacentral:rRNA from 1 species